rnacentral:rRNA from 1 species
UUGAACGCUGGCGGCAUGCUUUACACAUGCAAGUCGAACGGUAACAGGCCGCAAGGUGCUGACGAGUGGCGAACGGGUGAGUAAUGCAUCGGAACGUGCCCUGUCGUGGGGGAUAACUACUCGAAAGAGUAGCUAAUACCGCAUACGAUCUAUGGAUGAAAGCGGGGGACCGUAAGGCCUCGCGCGAUUGGAGCGGCCGAUGUCAGAUUAGGUAGUUGGUGGGGUAAAGGCUCACCAAGCCAACGAUCUGUAGCUGGUCUGAGAGGACGACCAGCCACACUGGGACUGAGACACGGCCCAGACUCCUACGGGAGGCAGCAGUGGGGAAUUUUGGACAAUGGGCGCAAGCCUGAUCCAGCAAUGCCGCGUGCAGGAAGAAGGCCUUCGGGUUGUAAACUGCUUUUGUACGGAACGAAACGGCUCUGGUUAAUACCCGGGGCUAAUGACGGUACCGUAAGAAUAAGCACCGGCUAACUACGUG